GGAUUUUUUACAACGCAACAAACACAAUACAAAGUACGAGUACAUAAAUAGAGAGAUAUAGUAAAAAAAAGAAAAAAGAAAAACUUGCUUACACUUACA